GAACGGUGGCUUCACCGAGGGGAUCCCGCGGUACAUGACGAUAAAGUUGGCCUGACCGUAUCGGAUGCCAACCUUGUUGUGGUUGGUUGCGGCGAAAAGGAGACAAAUGGAGAGGGAGAGAGAGGCCGUGUAGGGGGGAGUGGAUGUGAUGCCUUGCACCCCCACCUGGUACAAAUUCGAACUGUGGCUUUACGGUCAGGAGAAAGUACUGACAAAAACCCUGUGGCACAGAAAAGUGAGAGAGAGAGAAAAAAAUUGAAUGACGUUUGUUCUUGUUUAACAGAAAGGACUAUUUUGACUCAAGUUUAAAAGUAAGGAUUAAUUUCAAACACUUUUCUAAAGAGAGACUAAAUUGAGAUUUGUCAACCAAACUAGGGACGAAGUUGGCUAUUAAAACUUUUUACAACAUCUUAUACAUCUCCUUUCAUUAGACCUUUCAAACACAAACAUAAGAAAACUUCCCGACUCAACCGGUUCACUUUGUAACCUGCAAGUGUUAAAGUUGAACGCGUGUUUCUACUUGAAGGAGCUGCCCUCGACUUUGCCCGAACUUAGCAAUUUGCG
rnacentral:lncRNA from 1 species